GAUGAACGCUGGCGGCGUGCCUAAUACAUUCAAGUCGAGCGAACGGACGAGAAGCUUGCUUCUCUGAUGUUAGCGGCGGACGGGUGAGUAACACGUGGAUAACCUACCUAUAAGACUGGGAUAACUUCGGGAAACCGGAGCUAAUACCGGAUAAUAUUUUGAACCGCAUGGUUCAAAAGUGAAAGACGGUCUUGCUGUCACUUAUAGGUGGAUCCGCGCUGCAUUAGCUAGUUGGUAAGGUAACGGCUUACCAAGGCAACGAUGCAUAGCCGACCUGAGAGGGUGAUCGGCCACACUGGAACUGAGACACGGUCCAGACUCCUACGGGAGGCAGCAGUAGGGAAUCUUCCGCAAUGGGCGAAAGCCUGACGGAGCAACGCCGCGUGAGUGAUGAAGGUCUUCGGAUCGUAAAACUCUGUUAUUAGGGAAGAACAUAUGUGUAAGUAACUGUGCACAUCUUGACGGUACCUAAUCAGAAAGCCACGGCUAACUACGUG
rnacentral:rRNA from 1 species